rnacentral:rRNA from 1 species
GACGAACGCUGGCGGCGUGCUUAACACAUGCAAGUCGAACGGAAAGGCCCUGCUUUUGUGGGGUGCUCGAGUGGCGAACGGGUGAGUAACACGUGAGUAACCUGCCCUUGACUUUGGGAUAACUUCAGGAAACUGGGGCUAAUACCGGAUAGGAGCUCCUGCUGCAUGGUGGGGGUUGGAAAGUUUCGGCGGUUGGGGAUGGACUCGCGGCUUAUCAGCUUGUUGGUGGGGUAGUGGCUUACGAAGGCUUUGACGGGUAGCCGGCCUGAGAGGGUGACCGGCCACAUUGGGACUGAGAUACGGCCCAGACUCCUACGGGAGGCAGCAGUGGGGAAUAUUGCACAAUGGGCGGAAGCCUGAUGCAGCAACGCCGCGUGCGGGAUGACGGCCUUCGGGUUGUAAACCGCUUUCGCCUGUGACGAAGCGUGAGUGACGGUAAUGGGUAAAGAAGCACCGGCUAACUACGUG